rnacentral:lncRNA from 1 species
UGUUAUUUGGCUUUGUAUUUGGGGAGGAAAAUUGAACCCUAGUUGAGAAAAUUGAAAUUUCAUCGCAUGAUAAUUUCUUGCACGUUAAGUUUCACAUAAACCAUUUAAUAUGAUUGGAUAGAUCUUCUUGAGAUCUUUCUAACGAUAUAAAGAACAUAAAUUUUGGUCUUAAAUUGAAGAAGUUAUGGCCUUCCGAAAUUUCAGCAGAAAUCUGAAAAAAAAAUUGUUUUUUUCGGACGAUGAACAGUAACCGGGAAAAAAAAAGGAACUGAAACUGUUGCUGUGGAGUGAGAUUCAUAUUUUGAAAAUUCAUGUAGGUCCCUCAAUUAUUGUAGAUGCGAUUUGAGAAAUUUCAUGUUAGUCCCCAUACUUUUAAAUGUUUCCAAAUGCAAUUGGAAAAAUUGCAUGGUAGUCCCCACACUUUUUGAAUGUUAAUUAUUUCAAAUGCAAUUUGAGAAAUUGCAAGUUAGUCCCACACUUUUGAAUAUUUUCAAAUACAGUUUGAAAAAUUGCAUGUUGGUCCCCAACUUUUUUGAAUGUUGAUUAUUCCAAAUACAAUUUGAGAAAUUGCAUGUUAGUUACCACACUUUUAAACGUUUUCAAAUGCAAUUUGAAAAUUUGUAUUUUGGUCCCAAAACUAUUUUUG